rnacentral:lncRNA from 1 species
ACACAUACAUAUAUCCAUGCACAUACAUAUAUAUACAUAGAUGUAUAUAUACACAUAUAUGUAUAUAUACACAUAUGUGUAUAUAUACAUACAUACACAUAUAUAUACAUAUAUGUAUAUAUACGUGUGUAUAUAUACAUACAUACAUACAUAUACAUAUAUAUACACAUACAUACACACAUACACACAUACAUACACAUAUAUAUACACACACACAUAUACAUACACAUACAUAUAUAUAGACACACACACAUAUACAUACACAUACGUAUACAUACACAUGUAUAUAUAUGCGUAUAUAUACAUACAUACAUACACAUGUAUAUACAUGUACAUAUAUAUAUACAUGUACAUAUAUAAUCGUUGCUUUGAAUGAUGCAUAUGUAGAAAGCCCUUUUUUCUAGUAUUUACCAGUUGAUUUGAUCUUUGUUUCUUUCUUUCUGUAGUGGAGAUAGUCGCA